ACACACGGCGGGUGCUAACGUCCGUCGUGAAGAGGGAAACAACCCAGACCGCCAGCUAAGGUCCCAAAGUCAUGGUUAAGUGGGAAACGAUGUGGGAAGGCCCAGACAGCCAGGAUGUUGGCUUAGAAGCAGCCAUCAUUUAAAGAAAGCGUAAUAGCUCACUGGUCGAGUCGGCCUGCGCGGAAGAUGUAACGGGGCUAAACCAUGCACCGAAGCUGCGGCAGCGACACUGUGUGUUGUUGGGUAGGGGAGCGUUCUGUAAGCCUGCGAAGGUGUGCUGUGAGGCAUGCUGGAGGUAUCAGAAGUGCGAAUGCUGACAUAAGUAACGAUAAAGCGGGUGAAAAGCCCGCUCGCCGGAAGACCAAGGGUUCCUGUCCAACGUUAAUCGGGGCAGGGUGAGUCGACCCCUAAGGCGAGGCCGAAAGGCGUAGUCGAUGGGAAACAGGUUAAUAUUCCUGUACUUGGUGUUACUGCGAAGGGGGGACGGAGAAGGCUAUGUUGGCCGGGCGACGGUUGUCCCGGUUUAAGCGUGUAGGCUGGUUUUCCAGGCAAAUCCGGAAAAUCAAGGCUGAGGCGUGAUGACGAGGCACUACGGUGCUGAAGCAACAAAUGCCCUGCUUCCAGGAAAAGCCUCUAAGCAUCAGGUAACAUCAAAUCGUACCCCAAACCGACACAGGUGGUCAGGUAGAGAAUACCAAGGCGCUUGAGAGAACUCGGGUGAAGGAACUAGGCAAAAUGGUGCCGUAACUUCGGGAGAAGGCACGCUGAUACGUAGGUGAAGUCCCUCGCGGAUGGAGCUGAAAUCAGUCGAAGAUACCAGCUGGCUGCAACUGUUUAUUAAAAACACAGCACUGUGCAAACACGAAAGUGGACGUAUACGGUGUGACGCCUGCCCGGUGCCGGAAGGUUAAUUGAUGGGGUCAGCGCAAGCGAAGCUCUUGAUCGAAGCCCCGGUAAACGGCGGCCGUAACUAUAACGGUCCUAAGGUAGCGAAAUUCCUUGUCGGGUAAGUUCCGACCUGCACGAAUGGCGUAAUGAUGGCCAGGCUGUCUCCACCCGAGACUCAGUGAAAUUGAACUCGCUGUGAAGAUGCAGUGUACCCGCGGCAAGACGGAAAGACCCCGUGAACCUUUACUAUAGCUUGACACUGAACAUUGAGCCUUGAUGUGUAGGAUAGGUGGGAGGCUUUGAAGUGUGGACGCCAGUCUGCAUGGAGCCGACCUUGAAAUACCACCCUUUAAUGUUUGAUGUUCUAACGUUGACCCGUAAUCCGGGUUGCGGACAGUGUCUGGUGGGUAGUUUGACUGGGGCGGUCUCCUCCUAAAGAGUAACGGAGGAGCACGAAGGUUGGCUAAUCCUGGUCGGACAUCAGGAGGUUAGUGCAAUGGCAUAAGCCAGCUUGACUGCGAGCGUGACGGCGCGAGCAGGUGCGAAAGCAGGUCAUAGUGAUCCGGUGGUUCUGAAUGGAAGGGCCAUCGCUCAACGGAUAAAAGGUACUCCGGGGAUAACAGGCUGAUACCGCCCAAGAGUUCAUAUCGACGGCGGUGUUUGGCACCUCGAUGUCGGCUCAUCACAUCCUGGGGCUGAAGUAGGUCCCAAGGGUAUGGCUGUUCGCCAUUUAAAGUGGUACGCGAGCUGGGUUUAGAACGUCGUGAGACAGUUCGGUCCCUAUCUGCCGUGGGCGCUGGAGAAUUGAGGGGGGCUGCUCCUAGUACGAGAGGACCGGAGUGGACGCAUCACUGGUGUUCGGGUUGUCAUGCCAAUGGCACUGCCCGGUAGCUAAAUGCGGAAGAGAUAAGUGCUGAAAGCAUCUAAGCACGAAACUUGCCCCGAGAUGAGUUCUCCCUGACUCCUUGAGAGUCCUGAAGGAACGUUGAAG
rnacentral:rRNA from 1 species